AUCGCGCACGCGCGCUGGUCUCACGCCCACGCUGCAGUUUACGCUGCCGCGUUCCUCGAAAGCUUGCAAGCCCCCCGGGAGUCCCAAGGCGUUGAGAAGAGCGAUGCACUUCCCUCCACGCCGGAGUUGCGGGCUUGUGGCUGCUUCCUUUUCUUUACCUUGCUUGGGGUGCAGCUGGAGUUCCCACGUCCUCCCGAAGAGAAUAGAGAGGAGAGAAAACAUCCGCGCCAACAACUCGAGACUCCACAUGAUUUCCUUGCCAACCUCCAGGCACAUCAGAUCCGCGCCCUUCAACCUGAUGACGAAUGGCCAGGCGAAAUGGAUGGUGUGGACCACCAAGGAAUCCCUCUGCCGCAUCAUCCACAGGGAUUGGGAAGCCCGCCUUGCAGAGUUCCUCCUGGGCCAUCCCCUGUACUACCACGGGCCACAGCCCGGCUGAACUCUUAAUGGACCAGCAGCUGUCCACCCUCCUUGACUGGUUGCAUAUGGACAGAACCUUGGACUUACAUGAGUUCCCUGAUGUGCUCUGGGCACCCUGCAGAUUUGCUCCAGGAAACUUGAUCUAUGCAAAGAGCUUUGCAGGCAUCCUGACCUGGGUCCCAGCCAGGUUGCGAAGGUUCUGGGGACAGUUUCAUAUGAGGUAAGCACAGAAGGCAGUUUCACCCUUAGGUGUCACAUCGGCCAGCUGAGGUCUCGCACCCUUCCGAAGAACAAGGUCAACGGCGACAGCCCCAUUGGUCAGCCAGAAGCCUCACCACCUCAACCAACCGAGCCAGCCGGAUCUGAGGAUCCAGCUCCUGCACCCCAGGCUGAGUUGAUGGCAACCGAGGAUCCCAUGAUGCCGGCUGAAACACCAGCAUUUGCCCGCCCUUCCAUCCACUGUGCCUGAAGCCACAGAUUCGGGACAAGCCCCUGCGGCUGCUUUGCCUACCCCGGCACCCAGGUGGUCAACAUGGGAGCACCACAAACCUGCAUACCUGAGAGACUUUGUAUGUUGGAACUUGCAGAUGGGGGCGGGGAGGGAUGUUGUGUAUGAGGACUCGUGUUUACAUUCCUUUACCAGUGUUCCUGCCUGGCUCAUUGGAGCCCUGAAGACUGAGCUUGGGGACUUUAGAACAAUGGGCAGUAGGAUAAAAAUCCCUACUGCCUGGGUCCAAUCAGAAGCCCCCAGCUGCUUCAAACGAUCCAAUGGCAUUCUAGCGUAGGAACCAGUACUGUAUAUAGUUGGCCGCGUUGGCCCAGUUAAAAAGUCUUCUUUAGCUACUAGUUACCAUGCUGUAACUCAAUAAAGAGCUAUGAUCACUGCAACCGCAUCUCCUCUGUGCAUUGAACCCACUAUAUUACAAUUAUUGAUCAUUCUUGUGUUAUUGUUUUAGUGAUUUUAUAUUAUUAGUUUUUACUUUGUGAGCAAGCUCGAGUAAGGCAGCAUAUAAAAUUUUAUAAAUAAAUGUAUUGCUUGA